UUUAAAUUUUUAUAUAAAUAAUCGACGAUUUUGCAGUGAAACCUCUUGAUACAAAGGGACAAGAACGGCUCCAUCUAGAUAAAUCAAAUUUCUUUAAUAAGUUCUUAAUAAUUGUGAUUUGAUUGGAAGGCAUACAAAUUGAAUUUUGAACAUGUUCUUAAUUAAUCUGCAGUGUGGUGGUUUGUCAAACUAAGCAUGGAUUUGAUUUGGUGAUAUCUGUUAAAUUAUUUUUUUUUUUUAAAUUUCUUUAUGUAUUGAAUUAAAUAAGUUAAUAUUUGUUGAUUUUGGUGAUCUUUUUGGUGUUUCAGGAGAAAUGAUCUAUGAGAUAUGAUUUCUUCGGGUUCUAUCUUUCUUCCGACAUAAAAAUUGAAUCACAAACUUUCUUUUUCAGCCUGGUUUUGUCAAAAUAAUAACCUCCUUCGUAGUAUAGAACCUCAAGUUUUUCUCCUUAGUUCAUAAAUAAAAAAGAACCUCAAGUUUUGAUUAGGUAAAAUCAAAUUUCUUCAAUAAGCUAUUGUUUAUUAUUUUUAAUCUUUGACUUUGAUCGCAAGACAUACAAAUUGAUUUUGAAAUUGCUUUUCUGCAGUGUGAUUUGUCAAAAUAAUGAUCUCCUUCAUUCAUAGCAUGGACCCUCAAGUAAAUUCUUUUGUUCAAUCUUGUUGCAGGAGAGCAUGUAUGUAUGAUUUAGAUGUCUUGAGUUUAGAGUAUUCUUGAUUUUCUUUCUAUGUCUUUCGUUUCUUGAUCCAUUAGCCAGCCAGAUUGCUUAAUUUCAGCUUUUUCUAUAAGCGAGAUCUUAGGGUUAUGCUUCUCUUCACUCUUCUUUUACGAUACGUUGUUAAGAAUUAUUUUUGUAAUUUUUGGAUUAUUGAAUAUAAUUUAUAAACAUCAUUGGAUAAUGAGACAUACAUUUGGACGUUUUGCAGCGAGCUGAGAAGUCUUGAUGACUAGAACGGUUUGAUACGAAAAUGGGGAAUGGCUCCAGAUAGAUAAAUCAGUUUAUUCGAUGAUUCGUUCUUUAUUACUUUAAUUUCUGGGUUUUUACUGCAAGACAUGCAAAUUGAAUUUUCAACAUGUUUUCUUGCAGCGUGUUUGUCAAACUACUACCUGCUUGAUGCAUGGAGCCUAGCGUUUUAAUUGAUUUGGUGAUCUUUAUUAAAUUCUUUUCAUUUUAUGAUUUGUUUUACCUUCUUUGGUGUCGCAGGAAAAGUAAUUUUGUAACAUACGAUUACUUAUGAUUAUAUCAUAUGCACUCCUCUCUGGUUGAUUAUUUGUUUUUGUUGGUUUGGACUGCAGCAUGGUUUGACAAAAUAAUAAUAUCCUUCACAGCAUAGAGCCUCAAGUUUUGAUUUAGUGAUAUCUAGUAAAUCCUUGUUGUUUCAAUCUUAAAUUCUUUUCAUUUUAAAAAUUUAUUUUAUCGACAUCAUAUAUUUCUUUAUUUGUUAUUUACUUCUCCGUGUUGCAGGAGAAGUGAUCUGUGAACAUACUCUGAUUCUAUUGAUCUUCCUCUUGUUUAUAUCUGAGAAAUUCAGUCAGGUUUUCUUACACCAUCAUACUACUGAUUCCUUACAUUUAGUUUUUUGAUGUAAUUUGACAGUGUGAUAGUUUACACAAUUCUGGAGAAAUUGUGACUGCUUCGAUGUAUUCUGUCAUUUAGGUUUUCUUACUUCCGUUAAGACUUGGAAUAAAACUGGUUAUACCUCUUACUUGGAAUAAAACUGUUUUUUUUCUUACAUGUGGAUUUUGUUUGGCUGGAAUAAGUUGUGCUCUGAUGACGUGCCCUGCUAGUGCUGCAGUUUUUAUGUUUUUGUGUCAGGAACGUGAGUACAAAGCAUACAAGAGUCUGGAGUUUAUCUUUUCGCUUGGGUCUUUGAUCUCCUUCUAUCAAGGAGAUCUUUAUGGAUUGGCAUUUUGAUAUGCUUUUUUGGAAUGUAGAUAUCAAGAAUUUCACAGUUCUCUCUACUCUUUUUUUAUGGAUCGUUUUUUCAAGAAUUAUAUGUUUAUUUUUGAACUAUUGGUUCUAGUUUUACAUAAUUAGAUAAUUGAGAUACAUGUUUAACCAUUUUGCAGCAAGUGGUGGAAUUCUGAAAAACUAGAAACAUUUUGCGAUUCUCGACACAACGGAUAUGAACGGAGAGUGGCUUCAAAUAGAUAAAUUGAAUUUCUUCAAUGAUUCAUUCUUUUAUUGUUUUUAAUGUCAAGCUUUUUUGAUUACGAGAAAAUUCAACUGUGAACAUGCUUUUUCUGCAGCUUGGUAUGUCGAGUCUUGAGUAUUUUUCUGGUGAUCUCUAUCUAGUAAAUUCAUCCGUUCAAUGCUUCUGUGAGCAUAUAUUUCACACUGUCAUGCUUUUGCGAGUAUUAUUUGUGUUAUUUUUCGAUAUAACUCUUACUUUUAUAAUCGAAGAUCCGUUUAUCUGCUGUACUGCGAGCAGGGAUGUCAUGAAAUCUAGGAGACUUAAUGUAACGGACAAGAAUGGGGAACAGCUCGUGAUAAAUCAAUGAUUUUUCUUCAACAUGUCCUUUAUUAAUUUAUUUCUGCGCUUUGAUGGCAAGGCAUACAGAUUGAAUUUUGAACAUGUUUUUCUUCAGCAUGGUCUGUCAAACUAAAUAACAACUUUCUUCGCAGCAACGGGGAACAGCUCGUGAUAGACAGGAUUUUUUUUUCAAUGAGUUCUUUAUUAAUUUAAUUUAUGGCCUGUGAUUGCAAGACAUACAAAUUGAAUUUGAACAUGUUUUUCUGCAGCACGGUCUGUCAAACUGAUAACUUUCUUCACAUCAUAGAGCCUAGCGUUGUUUAUUUGGUGAUAUCUAUCAUAAUCUUUUUGUUUUCAAUAUUUCUUUAACUACUAUCAGAGUAUGACUUGAUUCAUUGUUCUUCAGUGUUGCAGGAGCAAUAAUCUGUGAACUUACGAUUUCUUACGAUUCUAUCUAUCAUUCUCUUGUUUGAUCCUCUUGUGGUGUAUUCUUAUUCUUUUCUGGUUGAUUCUUUUUGUUUGGGUUCCAAUUGAUUGUCCUCUAAUUCCUCUGUUACAAUAAAUUUUAAUCUUUGUGGGCGUGCGUUUAAGGUAUUGCUAUUUGAUUAACAGGUAAUAGUAAUGUUUUGCAGAACUUGGAAACAUAACUGGGGUUCUGAUAUGAAUGUUGCCAAUUGAGUCUCAGUAAAUGGUAAUGUUUUGAAAAACUUGAUACAUCAUUCCUGGUGGAAUUUUGAAUUAAACCCUGUUUUCUGCAGUGUAGUGUAUCUUAAAAUAACCACAGUCUGUUGUGUAUUAAUUGUACAGGUUUGUUUUUGCACUCUUACAUUUUAUGGUGACCAGAUCAAACCAAACAUUAUAAAUCAUUUUUAUUUCAUUUUAUUGUCCAGUCUUCUCGAUAUACUCUUUUAUGUGCAGGGAGGGUUGUGAUUAUAUGUGAAAAGUCUAGCCGUAAGCGUUCUUAUCCCUUCUGUUUGUCAUGGUGUAGUGUUUAUAUACAUGAAUCAACUGUUGUUCACAGGUUAAGUGUUACAUAGGUUUGGUGUGCAACAGAAGUCUCCAAUCACACUUCACUUUAAUAUGUUUUCCUUCUGAAAUGGUGAAAUUGGUUUGUGCUACUUACUUAUCUUCUGUCAUUUGAUUUGAUAUACACUGACGACUGUUUGCUAGGAUUAAUUUCGCGAUCUGAAUUUAGGGAGAAAUUGGUGGAGAUGAGUGCUUCUGCUCCCUGUACUAAUUGUCUGUCAACUAAUUAACAAGGAUACAUGAUUUGAUAUUCAUUUUCGACUGUUGAUAGGAUUGAAUUGGCAAUCUGAACUUAGGAAGAAAUUGGUGAUGAGUUGGUGAUGAUUGCCUCUUUCCUUUGCACUUAUCUUCUGCCAACUAAUUAACAAGGAUGCAUGAUUUGAUAUACGUAACUAACAAGAUACAUGAUUUGACAUUCAUUUUCGACUGUUGCUAGGAUUAAUUUGGCAAUCUGACCUUAGGGAAGAAUUGGCGGAGAUGAGUGUCUCUGUCAUGUGUACUACUUAUCUUUUGUUAACUAAUUAACAAGGAUACAUGAUUUGAUAUAUGUUUUCUACUGUUGCUAGGAUUAAUUUGGCGGUCUGAACUUGGGGAGAAAACUGGUAAUUUUCGUUCAGCCUUGGCAUAAAACUGGUAAUUUUCUAGUGUGUUUUUAUGUUGGGAUUUGGGAUAGCGUGGUCCUCUGGUGGUUUCUUGCUAGUGUUGGAGUUUUUGUUUUACUGUAGCAGGAGCAAGUAUGAAGCAUAUAUGAAUUCUGGACUGGUUUGGCACUUUAAUUUGUUGAUUUGUCCCUUCCUCUGCUAUAAUUCUUUUCUAUUUUCCUGUCGUUUGUGGUUAUAUAAAAGAAUAAGAAUCUUCUCUCCAAAAUGGUAAUCCUCACAGAUUCUGCAAUUGAAGCAAAGACUUGGUUUAGGGGGGAGUUUAAUGGAGCACCAGAAUUUUCAUUUGGUUGUCUCUACUUUGACAAUGGUUUCUUUUAAGUUUCCAUAUCUUUUUUGUGGAUUUUGUUUUCUCGUUCCUUCCCGACUCACUGUGUUUGUAAAUGGGGUUUUUUGUUGUGAAAUUUUCUCAGCUUGUGUUACAGGGGACAUGAUGUACCUUGAUUUUUAAGCUGCAGCUAACAUUAAUAUUACGAACAUGCUGAUCUGCGACUUGGUUUGAAUAAUCAAGCUACUAUUCUUUCUCUCUUGGUUCUUUUUCCUACAACGUAAUUUUCCUGUACAUUUUUAUCUGGUAUUGACAGGGUUGUUGCAUGGGUUCAGAGAAAUUGAAGUUGAGUAUCUUUACUGCUUUGUACUACUUAACUUUUGUGAACAAAUCAACAUGAACAUAUGCGCCAUAAUGUUUUGCUGUGUUAUAUAUUUUCUGUACAUUUCAGUGAAGUCGUUUCAGAAUAAGGAUUCUUUGUGGAAGCUUAGUUAGGGUGAGGUUGUCCAAGAUUUUCCUUCCAUUUUGGGAUAUAAAUUGAUCAUUUUAAGUUAUAUGUUUUUCUUCCAUUGAGUUUAGUCGGUGGUUUAGCAUAAAAGAUUUGGAGCAACUCUGCAAUUUGUAAGAUGCUAGUGUAACUUACUCUCACCUUCCCAAAAUGAGGAGGCAGAAGGGCUUGACUGCAAGACCCACCCGUUGAGCAGGGAUGAAAAUCGGCCUUAGUAUAUACGAUCCCGAAGAGCGGCUUUUGCUAAAACUCUAGGAAUUUGGGCAGUUCGGUUUGGUACUGAUUGUUUUGGUGAUCUGUUUGUUGGGGAAUAAUUUGGCAGGGGGAAAUGAUAUUCUUUUACCUUUUGUUGUUGCUGUUGUUAGUUUAUUUAUGGUUUGUACUCCGAAAAUGCUAUUAUCUUCGUUACAGUGGUCCAAGGACACCUCCGGUAUUAGGUGGAAGCUUAAAUUGCCGUGUUAUAGAGUCCAACAUCUUGCAAUUUGGAUAGGGUUCUUCUGCAGGCUUAAAUUUGGUGGACAUCUCAGCUAUGAAAACUCGACAUUUUUGUCUUCGUGUGAUACUUGGCAUUUUUUUCAGUUCUUUUGAAUUGUGAAUUGUGUGGGUGUCACAGGGGAGACGAACUAUGAAAUGUGGUGUGCUGUGACCUGUGGAAACCGGAGGUUUACAUACUAUCCAUUCAGCCGUGUGAUUGAUCAGUAAUUUUUUACAUGUCUGUAUGUAUGUUACGGCUUUAGGGAUAUUUUUCCUUCUACGUCUCAUAUGCUAGUGUUGGAUAUAUGUGUUUUUGCCAUCAGGAGCAUGAAUAAUUGAAGCAUACAAGAUUCUAGAGUUUAUGAUUUUGCACAGGACGAGGAUAUGAAAUUCUGGACAGCUUAGUUUUGUGUUAUGUUCUCUGCUUGGGUGGUCUUUAUUUGGGGAGCUUUUCUAUAGCCUUCAAAAUUUGAUGAUGUGCAUAACAAUAAAUCGGUUCUUCUAUGUUAUGAGUGCACCGGCUUCAAGGUGAUUUCUACUUGGUUAUAUUUCCUCUGUGCUUUCUGCUACUACUAGGACUGGUUCUUUGAAUUUUAUAUCGGUCAUUGCAAAUGUAGUGGAUUGUUAAAUGCUUGUGUGGAACAUGAUGAUAGACCGUCUAUUCAGCUUUUGGACAAAAACCAGCUAUUUCUUACUAUUAAUGUUUAUAUAUCUCUAGAGUCUAUUGCUUCUCUCAGUCAGUGUUAACUAGGUAUAAAUUGAACAUGGUAAGGGACAUAAAUAACUAAGCAAAUGCUGUUUUAUGUUUAUGAUGUUCUAAUGAUCAAUUUUGUUAUUUUCAGUUCUCUUUUAUGAUAAUCUAAUGAUCAAUUUUGUACCAGAUCACUUACAUUUUUUGUUGGAAAUCACUUGUGAUAACUUCAGAAGGUUAGUUUAAAUUUUUAUUGAGCAAGAACAAUAGACAUAAUAAUCAACAUGUAACGUGUAAUGUAAAAAAAUACAACUAUAUCUUUGUAUUUUUGAAUUAAUACCGUCUGAUCUAGAUUUGCCCGUGUACCAGAUCACUUUGAUAAUUUUCGAUUGGAAAUUACACAUGAUACUAAAACUUCAUUAAGGUUAGAUUUAAACUUCUUUUCGGCAAUAAUAAUUAAAACUAGCAAAAGAAUUAUAACAUUUUUCACAAUCAAAGGAAAAUAUUUAGCUGGCGUCUUUAUUUAGUUCCAAGAUAGGUUUUGAUUUUUUCUUGUUACACCUCGAGUUACACUUGAAUUGACAAAAAUAUCCUUAAACUCUGAAUUUUCACCAUUAUCCAUUGUCUUGCACCUCUCUUAUAUCCUCCCUUCAUCCUCCUUUCCAUUAUCUGUCUUCUUUUCUAGAACCACAAGUGAUAUCAUGGAAGAGGCACACAUCGUAAUUAUUGAUGUUAUUUUUUCAUAGCAUCGAGCCUCGAGUUCAUAUAUUUUCUCUUGAUAUGUUUGUUGAUUGAGUAUCAGAUAAUGGUAGUAUUGUUUUGUGAAACUACAUGACUAUCAGACUAAAUUGUGAAUUGAAACAUUUACUGUUUUCUGCAGUGAAGUGUGUUUUGAAACCGUUCUGUGUAGCAACAAGCAAUCAGGUUUAUUUUGAUACACUCUUCUUUCACUUCAUUAAUUCUCUGUGAAAUUCUACUGUCCAGUCAUUUUGAUUUACUCCUUAAUGUCACUUGGGUGUAACACGCAUUCUCUGUAAAGUUCUAGUGUCCAGUCAUUUUGAUUUACUCCUUUUUGUCACUUGGGUGUUACACGCGAGAGAUAAGUCUGUUGAUGUGGGGUGAGAGAUGAGUUUAUUAUCUUUUAUGUUUAUCAUUCAGUCUUGUUUUACUCCUUUAAACUGAGAAGUUCAACCUUACGGUUUGCUGACUGCUUAUACUACUGUUAUCUUACAUUUAGGUUUCUGACCUGUAACUUAAGUUUACACAAAUCUGGAGAGAUUAAGAAAGUUAUGUGUCUGUCUUUGUAACUAUGAUCUUUUCAUCAGUACUUCGUUUUCAGAAUGAUGCUACUCUUGUUUAAUUUUACUUGGUUUUUUUUUCUUUCUAUAAUUAGGUGGUACAGCGUAAUAUUUUAGUGCAUGUGUCAUUUGGUGUUCACAGGGUAAUUGUUACAUGGUUUGGUGUACCUUUCUCGAUCACCCUGUCAUACUAAUAUUUUUGUGCAUGUGUCAUUUGAUGUACAUAGAGGUUUUUAACAUGUAAUCUGAUAGUGUGAUAGUUUACAUAUUUUUCUGGAGAGAUGGGACAGCUUGUGAGGCUCUCUUGUAACUAUGAUGUGCUGUUCAACAGCUUGGUUUGGAGAAUUAUGCUAAUCUUCCUUUUUUUUUCGUUUUUUUUGUAACUAUCUGUCACUAUGAUACAAACCAGAAAAUGUGAACAACAGAUAACAGAGAAAAAGAGAAAGGAAAUGAGAGUUUUAUUAAUGAGUUCAAAUGGAGAUUAAUACAGAAAAGGGGGAAAAUACAAUCCCUAGAUCUGGACACGUCGGAUCUAGGGAUUGUAUAUAAACUUGGAUGCCUUACUCCCCUCCUGACUCCUUAUAUAAUGUAAACGAGUGGUACCCUCUCAUUUCUGGACACGUCACAUAUCAGUAACUAACUAGCCACCAUUACCUUUCUUACUCCUCCUAGAAUAUACCUUCCAAACUUGGGGCCCCUUUGACUUAAAAUGAAUCAGCUGCUCAUGCGGCAUAUCAGCAGAUAGCUGAGUCCUAUCACACUACUCCAUAGUUUUCUUACAUUUACGUUUUUCACAUGUAAUGUGACGGAGUAGUGGUCACACAAUUCUGAAAAAAUUGAGACAACUUCUUACUUUUUAUUCAACCAUGUGGAUUUGUGUUGGGAUGGGAUAGUUGUGCUCUGAUGGUGAGCCCUGCCAGUGUUGCAAUUUUUUAUUUUUAUGUAUCAGGAAAGUGAGGCAUACAAGACUCUGGAGUUUAUCUUUUCGCUUGGGUCUUUGAUCUUCUUCCAUCAAGGAGAUCUUUAUGGAUUGCCGUUUUGAUAUGCUUUUUUGGAAUGUAGAUACCAAGAAUCUCACAUUUUUCUCCACUCUUCUUUUAUGGAUCGUUUUUUCAAUAAUUAUAUGUUUAUUAUUGAACUAUUGGUUCUAGUUCUUCAUAAUUUGAUAAUCGAGAUAUAAGUGGCGGAAUUCUGAAAAACUAGAAACAUUUUGCGAUUCUUGACACAACGGAUAUGAACGGAGAAUGACUUCAAAUAGAUAAAUUGAAUUUCUUCAAUGAUUCAUUCUGUGUUUUUAAUUUCUAGCUUUUGAUUAUGAGAAGAAUUGAACUGUGAACAUGCGUUUCUGCAGCUUGGUUUGUCUAAGUAAUAACCUCCUUCUGAGUAUAGAGCCUUGAGAAUUUUUCUGGUGAUCUCUAUCUAGUAAAUUCAUCCGCUCAAUGCUCCUGAGAGCAUAUUUUUACACUCAUUCUUUUCUUUACUCUUCUUUUACUAUCUUUUGGCGAGUAUUAUUUGUUUUAUUUUUUCGAUUUAACUCUUCCUUUGAUAAUUAAUGAUCCAUUUAUCCUUUGUACUGCGAGCAGGGAAGUCUUGGUAUCUAGGAGACUUGACAUAUCAGACAACAGCGGGGAACGGCUCCUGAUAGAUAAAUGAUUUUUCUUCAACGAGUCCUUUAUUAAUUUAAUUCUGGGCUUUGAUUGCAAGGCAUACAAAUUGAAUUUUGAACAUUUUUUUCUGCAGCACGGUCUUCCAAACUGAUAACUUUCUUCGCAGCAUAGAGCCUAGCGUAUUUAUUUGGUGAUAUCUAACAUAAUUUUGUUUUCAAUAUUUCUUUAACUACUCCAAGAGUAUGAAUAUUUCUUGAUUCGUUACUCUGGUGUUGCAGGAGCAAUAAUCUGUGAACAUACGAUUCUUUUGAUUCUAUCUAUCAUUCUCUUAUGUGGUAGAUUCUUAUUUCUUGAUGUUUGCAGUUCUUAUUCUAAUGAUCUGUUUGUUCAGUUUGUUUGGGUUCCAAUUGAUUAUUCUCUAGUUACUCUGUUACAACAAAGAUUAUUCUUCGUAGACCGAUGUUGUUUUGCAUUUAAGAUAUUGCUAUUUGAGUAAUGAGUAAUAGUAAUGUUCAGCGAAACUUGGAAACCUAGCUGGAGUUCUGAUAUGAAUUUUCUGUUUUGGAUGUUGCCAAUUGAGUCUCAGAAAAUGGUAAUGUUUGUUUUUCAGGCCUAUUUGGACAUCGGCAAUCAGCCUGCCUCUUGCUGGCCUUAUCGAAUUAUCAUAAGCGGUGAUGUACACGGGAGAAGGAGCCAGUGAGUCCUCAUAAAUGUCAAGGGCGCGCAGCGUGGAUAGGGGGGGAACCCGUAUGUUUUUGUGAAAAAGCCCGGCUCCUGUUAUUGCUGGAAAAAAAAAACCUAAUAACUCUAUUUGAUGUCGAUUCAUCCAUACUUCCAUUUUAGAGGGAGGCUGACUGCUUGCCGGCUGGUAGCUGUAUGAGCGGUAACGUCCACGUACGGCUCCGUGAGAAGGGCGGUGGACAGAAAUGGCCUUGUUGUACCUCACUCUCGUCUUCAAUGGGGUCUGCUCUUUUUUUUUUGGGAGAGUAUGCCAAUAUGAUCUUAAUGAGGUGCGGGGCUUUGCAUCUGACAUUCGUUGGGCUUCCCUCUUCGGGAGACUGCGUCCCGGCGUUAAGUGUAACAAUGAAAACAUAUUUUUAUUCAAUGAUUCGUUCUUUAGUAUUUUUAUUUCUUGGCUUUGAUUCGAAGGACAUAAGAAUUGAUAUGUAAACAUGUUUUUCUGCA